rnacentral:rRNA from 1 species
AUUGAACGCUGGCGGCAGGCCUAACACAUGCAAGUCGAGCGAGCGGCGGACGUGUGAGUAAUGUCUGGGAACCUGCCUGCUGGAGGGGGAUAACUACUGGAAACGGUAGCUAAUCCCGCAUACCAUCAGAUGUGCCCAGAUGUGAGUAGCUAGUAGUUGGGGUAACGGCUCACCUAGGCGACGAUCCCUAGCUGGUCUGAGAGGAUGACCAGCCACAGUGGAAAUGAGAUACGGUCCAGCCUCCGACGGGAGGCAGCAGGGGGGAAUAUUGGAGAAUGGGCGAAAGCCUGAUGCAGCCAUGGCGCGUGUGUGAAGAAGGCCUUCGGGUUGUAAAGCACGUUAAGCGGGGAGGCGUUACCCGCAGAAGAAGCACCGGCUAACUCCGUGCCAGCAGCCGCGGUAAUUC